ensembl:lncRNA
GGACAGUAGGACAGGAUGACCUUUGGAUGACCAAUCCAUGACCUAGGGUCAUCAGGGCGGCCGGUAAUAUAAUGAGAUAUAAAAACAUUUGGGUUAUAAUCUAGGUACCAUUCUACCGUGAUCAUUCCAUGGUAGUGUCACUCAGAGGCAAACAAACAAGAGAAAGACUCAGUGGUUCCAUGCAUAAUUGGGUGGUACCAUGCAUAGUCGGGUGGUAGGGUGGUACCAUACAUAGUCGGGUGGUAGGGUGGUCCCAUGCAUAGUCGGGUGGUAGGGUGGUUCCAUACAUAGUCGGGUGGUAGGGUGGUCCCAUGCAUAGUCGACUGUUAGGGUGGUCCCAUGCAUAGUCGGGUGCUAGGGUGGUCCCAUGCAUAGUCGGGUGUUAGGGUGGUCCCAUGCAUAGUCGAGUGUUAGGGUGGUCCCAUGCAUAGUCAGGUGUUAGGGUGGUCCCAUGCAUAGUCGGGUGGUAGGGUGGUUCCAUACAUAGUCGGGUGGUAGGUUGGGCCCAUGCAUAGUCGGGUGGUAGGGUGGGCCCAUGCAUAGUCGGGUGGUAGGGUGGUCCCAUGCAUAGUCGGGUGGUAGGGUGGUCCCAUGCAUAGUCGGGUAUUAGGGUGGUCCCAUGCAUAGUCGGGUGGUAGGGUGGUCCCAUGCAUAGUCGGGUGGUCCCAUGCAUAGUCGGGUGGUAGGGUGGUCCCAUGCAUAGUCGGGUGGUAGGGUGGUCCCAUGCAUAGUCGGGUGGUAGGGUGGUCCCAUGCAUAGUCAGGUGGUUCCUUCCAGCAACUCCGUAUUGCGGAGAAUUGAGGAGUGUGACGGGCGACUAACUACCACAGUUCCCAUAACGGGUGAGUCAUCAUCAUCGUCUUUCAGACCUUUUUAGCAGAUCUCUCUCUCUCCGUCCUUGUCUCUCUCUCUCUCUCUCUCUCCCCCUCCUUCUCUCUCUCUCUCUCUCUCUCUCCUUGUCUCUCUCUCCUAUUCUCUCUCUCUCUC